rnacentral:tRNA from 1 species
GAGGGUAUAGCUCAGUGGUAUAGUGUGUGCUUUGCAUGCACGAGGUCCUGGGUUCAAUCCCCAGCAGCUCCG